rnacentral:rRNA from 1 species
CGAAACCUUGCAUACAUGGGACUGUAUCCAGAGUACCACGAGACACGUGAAACCUUGUGGGAAGCAGGGGGGACCACCCUCCAAGCCAAAAUACUGAUAUCGACCGAUAGCGCAUAGUACCGUGAGGGAAAGGUGAAAAGAACCCCGGGAGGGGAGUGAAAUAGAACCUGAAACCCUGCACUUACAAGCUGUGGGAGCACAUUACUUGUGUGACCGCGUACUUUUUGUAGAACGGGCCAACGAGUUACGUUAAGUAGCAAGGUUAAGCACUUAAGGUGUGGAGCCGUAGCGAAAGCGAGUCUUAAAUGGGCGUCUAGU